rnacentral:tRNA from 1 species
GUCCUUAUAGCUCAAUGGUAGAGCAAAACACUUCUAAUGUUUAGGUUAAAGGUUCAAGUCCUUUUAAGGAUU